rnacentral:rRNA from 1 species
UUAGCCUACGGGGGGCAGCAGUGAGGAAUAUUGGUUUUUGGAGGGACGUCUGAACCAGCCAUGCCGCGUGCAGGAAGACGGCUCUAUGAGUUGUAAACUGCUUUUGUACAAGGGUAAACCUGAAUACGUGUAUUCAGCUGAAAGUACUGUACGAAUAAGGAUCGGCUAACUCCGUGCCAGCAGCCGCGGUAAUACGGAGGAUCCAAGCGUUAUCCGGAUUUAUUGGGUUUAAAGGGUGCGUAGGCGGAUUGAUAAGUUAGAGGUGAAAUGUCCGAGCUCAACUCGGGAACUGCCUCUAAUACUGU